CUACGGGCGGCAGCAGGCGAGAAAACUUUGCAAUGUGCGAAAGCACGACAAGGUUAAUCCGAGUGGUUUGUGCUAAACGAACCUUUUGACAGUCCUAGAAACACUGUUGAAUAAGGGGUGGGCAAGUUCUGGUGUCAGCCGCCGCGGUAAAACCAGCACCUCAAGUGGUCAGGAUGAUUAUUGGGCCUAAAGCAUCCGUAGCCGGCUCUGUUAGUUUUCGGUUAAAUCUGUACGCUUAACGUACAGGCUGCCGGGAAUACUGCAGAGCUAGGGAGUGGGAGAGGUAGACGGUACUCGAUAGGAAGGGGUAAAAUCCUUUGAUCUAUUGAUGACCACCUGUGGCGAAGGCGGUCUACCAGAACACGUCCGACGGUGAGGGAUGAAAGCUGGGGGAGCAAACCGGAUUAGAUACCCGUGUAGUC
rnacentral:rRNA from 1 species